rnacentral:rRNA from 1 species
GAUGAACGCUGGCGGCGUGCCUAAUACAUGCAAGUCGAGCGAACGGACGAGAAGCUUGCUUCUCUGAUGUUAGCGGCGGACGGGUGAGUAACACGUGGAUAACCUACCUAUAAGACUGGGAUAACUUCGGGAAACCGGAGCUAAUACCGGAUAAUAUUUUGAACCGCAUGGUUCAAAAGUGAAAGACGGUCUUGCUGUCACUUAUAGAUGGAUCCGCGCUGCAUUAGCUAGUUGGUAAGGUAACGGCUUACCAAGGCAACGAUGCAUAGCCGACCUGAGAGGGUGAUCGGCCACACUGGAACUGAGACACGGUCCAGACUCCUACGGGAGGCAGCAGUAGGGAAUCUUCCGCAAUGGGCGAAAGCCUGACGGAGCAACGCCGCGUGAGUGAUGAAGGUCUUCGGAUCGUAAAACUCUGUUAUUAGGGAAGAACAUAUGUGUAAGUAACUGUGCACAUCUUGACGGUACCUAAUCAGAAAGCCACGGCUAACUACGUGCCAGCAGCCGCGGUAAUACGUAGGUGGCAAGCGUUAUCCGGAAUUAUUGGGCGUAAAGCGCGCGUAGGCGGUUUUUUAAGUCUGAUGUGAAAGCCCACGGCUCAACCGUGGAGGGUCAUUGGAAACUGGAAAACUUGAGUGCAGAAGAGGAAAGUGGAAUUCCAUGUGUAGCGGUGAAAUGCGCGGAGAUAUGGAGGAACACCAGUGGCGAAGGCGACUUUCUGGUCUGUAACUGACGCUGAUGUGCGAAAGCGUGGGGAUCAAACAGGAUUAGAUACCCUGGUAGUCCACGCCGUAAACGAUGAGUGCUAAGUGUUAGGGGGUUUCCGCCCCUUAGUGCUGCAGUUAACGCAUUAAGCACUCCGCCUGGGGAGUACGACCGCAAGGUUGAAACUCAAAGGAAUUGACGGGGACCCGCACAAGCGGUGGAGCAUGUGGUUUAAUUCGAAGCAACGCGAAGAACCUUACCAAAUCUUGACAUCCUUUGACAACUCUAGAGAUAGAGCCUUCCCCUUCGGGGGACAAAGUGACAGGUGGUGCAUGGUUGUCGUCAGCUCGUGUCGUGAGAUGUUGGGUUAAGUCCCGCAACGAGCGCAACCCUUAAGCUUAGUUGCCAUCAUUAAGUUGGGCACUCUAAGUUGACUGCCGGUGACAAACCGGAGGAAGGUGGGGAUGACGUCAAACCAUCAUGCCCCUUAUGAUUUGGGCUACACACGUGCUACAAUGGACAAUACAAAGGGCAGCGAAACCGCGAGGUCAAGCAAAUCCCAUAAAGUUGUUCUCAGUUCGGAUUGUAGUCUGCAACUCGACUACAUGAAGCUGGAAUCGCUAGUAAUCGUAGAUCAGCAUGCUACGGUGAAUACGUUCCCGGGUCU